ACGUAGGGGGCAAGCGUUGUUCGGAAUUACUGGGCGUAAAGGGCAUGUAGGCGGCCUUGUAAGCUUGGCGUGAAAGUCCACGGCUUAACCGUGGGAUUGCGUUGAGAACUGCGAGGCUUGAGUGACGGAGAGGGAGAUAGAAUUCCUGGUGUAGAGGUGGAAUCCGUAGAGAUGAGGAAGAAUACCAGUGGCGAAGGCAUGCUCCUGGCCUAGGACUGACGCUGAGGUGCGAAAGUGUGGGGAUCAAACAG
rnacentral:rRNA from 1 species